CUUGACCAGCCUGAUUGGUUGCAGGAGGGGACCAAUCAGAGGUACCUCCCAUUUUUCAUCUGCAGCCCAAUGCAAAGUAAUGACAUGGAUCUGGAGAGAUUCUCUUAGGAGAGAAUCUGGCUAAGUGUCUAGCAGGAUGAUUGAUUAACAAGAUGUUUUGUUUUCAUCAUCUCAGAGAGCUGUAUUGAGGUAUAAUUGAUAUGCCAAAUAACUGGACACAUUCAACUUGUGCAAUUUGAUGAGUUUGGAGAUACACAUACAUCUGUGAAACCAUCACCAAAAUCAAGAACAACUUUCUCUGAUCUCUGUGGACAUGCUUAAAAUGGCUGACUCACACAGCAAGACUAUUUAACUGUGCCUAAAAUCAACCCACAUUCAGAUGCUAACUGUAAUCCUAUUCCCUGAUCCAUCAGGAAAAAGAGUCUGAUUGACAUAACUUGUCAAGUGUUCGCCCCAGCUUCUAUCAACUAUGGGGAAGGAAGGGCCAGAAGAGGUGUAACCAUCAUGGCUACCAGGUUUCGAAAUAUUUACAUUACAUACUGCAUUUAUUAAAAUACAAAUUAAAUCUGCAAUAAAAAAC
rnacentral:lncRNA from 10 species